UUCACAGUCAGUUUUACAGCUGCAUUACCUUUGCCCCAAGCAUGGUUAGAGGAAUCAGCAGGUGACGAUCAGCCAGGAGCUACAUAAUUUCUGAGGGGUUUGGUCAUUCUUUGGUUUCUCUUUCACAGGAUACAAGUGAUGCCUUCAAAUUUGAGCUCAGUUUCUUAUGGUCGUUUAGGAGCAUGAGGGUUUCUGCAAUAAUCUACCAGUGAAAUGAUGAUCAAGAUCUUGGAAAGCACUCUACUGGUCAAGCAGAAUAGUUCCUGUCAUCUCCAUUAAGAAUCAGCUUAUUGGCCGGGCGCAGUGGCUCAUGCCUGUAAUCCCAGCACUUUGGGAGGCUGAGGCGGGUGGAUCACGAGGUCAGGAGAUCGAGACCAUCCUGUCUAACAAGGAAUCCUUUCUGGCACUCAAGAGUUUUCAAUUCAAUCCUGAUGAAUGAAUCAUUAUUUGAUACCAGCCUAAGUGAAGACUCUGCCUGGUGACUUUUGCAAGGUGGUUUCUGGCUGCAACAUGGGAAGAUUUGGGAUCAGUGAGAUGGAAGAGAUUUUUCUGGCUACUAGCGUUCCUAAGAAAGAGCUUUAGUGUUUAUCCAGCUAUUGGUAUGCAGACAACUAUACCCUUAUGAGAAACACUAGCAGAGAAGAAGAGUUCUUGACUGGGUCUGGGCCAUGAAACUGACCGGAUAAAAGUGGGAGAAGAAGAGAUGUUGAAGGAGGAGUUUGCUGUUUUCUCAGUCUCCUGAGAAAUUCCAGGUUUGGAUGCUUCCUAAGGCCAUUCCCACUCUCCUCUAUCUAAACCAGAGAGAACGAUUGCUUGUCCUUAUCACAUUAUCCUUGCUUUCACUGUAAAUGAUGAUAAAUAAUAAUCUCUACACUUGCAUUUGCAUACAGCACUGCGUGCUUUUUCAAAGAACACUCAAGUCUGUUCUCACAUUUGAUUCUCACACCAGGCUUGGAGAUAUUUGAGGCAUCUCCUCCCCCCAAACUCAGUUGGACAGAUCAGAAAAAUGAGGUCCAGCAAACUGAAAUGACUUGCUCCAGAACUCACAGACAAUUAAUGACUAGAACCCAGGUCUUCUAACUUCCUACCAAUUAUUGUGAGGAGAGCCCAUAAAGGAGAAAAGGACAAGGGAUGAUCUAUGGAACAUUCAAACUCCUGUCUCUAGUUGCCUUUUUCUGGUUGUUUCUUGGAUAUCACGCACUCUCAUCAGCAGCCUUCCUACUCUUACAGAUUAUCAACACCUGUCCCAAAAUCCUGGGGCCAGCCAUGGUGCUUGGGCUUUUUUUCCCACAUCUAACCAUUCCGCAGCAUAUAACAAAUCCUUGACAAAUUUCCAGUGGAAAAAAAUAGCAGAAACCAUACACCCUCCAUCUGUGAAUUGAUGUGGCCAAGAACAGGCUUAUUUCAAAGGGUGCACCAUAGAAUAGUCGUAAGACUCAACCCCUCCAAGACUAGCUGGUGCUUAUCCCGCCCAUAGGCAGUUAAAAGGACUUUAUUUGCAUCUUAUUCUUUCCAACAGAAAGGCAAACAUUAUUAUUACAAUUCAGUAAAUUUCCAUAAGGAACCCCAUUGAUACAUGUUGUAUAUUUUGGGUUCUUUUGUUUCAUACUGAGCAUACCAACAUUAUAUCAAUAUUAUAUUUAUCUAGCAUUCUCCCAUAUUCAUAGAAAUAGAGAACUCAUCAGCCUUUAAAAAGAACUCAAAUGCACACAAAAUUUCACCCUCUAGAAAAGCAUCAAUGAAAAUGAUUUUGCAAAUAUAUAUACUUUUCAAUAUGUAAGUAUCUACAAAAAAAUUGAUAAUAAUUAAAUACCUGUAAAGUGCCAUGCACUUUACCUGUAUAUCUCAUUUAAUUCUCACAACAACCCUGUGAAGUAAGAAUUACUACGCCCAUUUUAUAGAUGAACUAGCUAGGAGUCAAAGACAUUGAGCCACUUGCCACACAUUUACAGCACGGAGCUACAAAGAUCUGGGACUUGAAUCCAGAUUUUCUAACUCCAGAGCCAAAGCUUUUCUUAAUAUGCCACAGGAGCAAGCACAGGAGCUUGCUCCAAAAGUCAAGUUAAUUUUUAGGAAAGAAUUAGGUAAGCAAAUAUUCAUGAAUUAGAGAAUGUCUUUAAUUUCAGAUCCAAAUCACUUGGUCACUUAAAAAUAAAAGACAAUAAAUCAUAAGGGAUUCUACUUGACUUAUUAUCUAAAGUGAUUAAUAAGAAUGACAUUUCCCCACCAACCCCAAAUGAAAAAAUCAAUUUGGGAAGUUUCCCAAUAAUUUAAACUUGAAACACUAAUCUGAAAAAGAAAAUCUAUAUAUCAAAAGUCUUCAUAGUAUGGCACAAAUAAAACAGAAUCUUAAUUUCCAAUUUCUAUUAAACUGAUUUUUCUUUUAAACUGGAGCCAGAAAGCCAAAAAGCCUUCAAAUCAAUUGAGCCUCUUGCAUUUUAUUUAAGAGGUUUCAUUUUUCAAACCAAAGCUGGGAAGACAAAACAAGCUUAUUUAAUUCACACCCCAGAAUUGUAAUUUCUCUGUUCAAGCCAAUGUCUAAGUGCCUGUAUUAAGGGCUUCCCACUGACCAUAAUGUGUUAAUUCAUCAUUGCACACAAUUUUCCUUUGUACUUUUAAGCUACUCUUCAUUUUCCCCUUGGUUAGGGUUGCCUAUACAACAGAGGACACCCAGUAAAACAUAAAUUUCAGAUAAACAACAAAUAGUCUUUACAUAAGCAUGCCCCCUGCAAUAAUUGAGACAUACUUAUACCCCCAAAAUUAUUUAUCUGAAAUUCACAUUUAACUAGACAUCCUGUAUUUUUAUUUGCUAAAUCUGGCAACCCUAUUCUUGAUCCAUUGUGGGUAUUCCCAGGACUUCACCUCUAAACUAUUAUAUUUUUCAAAUACAUUAUUUGUAUGUUUUGUGGUGUGUAUGUGUGUGUGUGUGCACGCGCGCGUGCCUCUCAGAAUGGAGGUUCUGGAGCAUCUCUCACUCUUGAGACCACAGCCAUCUAUCACUUUGGUUAUCAAUGUGUCCUCUAUCGUAUAUAUAAUUAUGUAUUAUGUUAUAUAUAUAUAUAUAUACAUAAUUUAGUGUGAAACUAGCCAGGACCAUUUUGAAAACGAAAAGUCAGUGGUGGGAGGUGGGAAGGAGUGUGUUGGGAGAAACUUUACCCACCACGUAUUAAAAGGUAUUAUAAAUCUAUACUGAUUAAAACAGUUUGGUUCUAGUAUGUGAGUAGAUAAAUUAACACCACAGAAUAGAGAUUACCCAAUUCUUUACCCCAAAAUAAGUUCUAGAAAUAUAAAGGAGUCAAAUGGAAAAUGCAAUUGUAAAGACACCAAGAGAAAGCAUGGAAUAAUUAUAUGUAGUCUUGAAGUGAAAAUGAUUUUUCUAAGGAAGAUGCAAAAUCCAGGAAGUAAAAAGAAAAAUUUCAUAAAUCUAGCUACAUAUAAUUUUCAAAACUUUUUUCAUGUAGAAAAUAUAAUAAAUGCAGUCAAAAAGCAAUUUAGGGGAACAUCUUCAAUUUAUCUCACUCAGGGUGGACUAAGUUAUUUAAUAUGUAAAAAUCUCUUGCAAAUCAAUAGAAAAAAAGCAAAAUCAUGAAUAGAAAAAUGAGUAAAGGCUAUAAAUGGACAUUUCACUGAAAAACAGCCAUACAAGUUAAUAAACACACAGAAAAAGAGGCUUAACCUCACUGAUGAUUAAGGCAAUGCAAGUUAAAGCAAUAAUGAAACAUCAUUUCCCUUCAUUAUAUUGAAAAAGAUUAAAAGCUAGAUAAUGUGUAGUAUUGAUGGGGAUAGAGAGAUGGGCAUUUCAUAACUUGUAGAUGAGAUUAUAAAUUGGUGCAACGUCUUUGGAGGGCACGAUUUUGCAGUAUCUUUUAAUAUGAAAAAUGUAUUUAUCCUUGACUAAGUAAUUCCCAUUCUAGAAAUGUAUAUUAUGAAAAUACUUGCACAGUAUGCAAAUGUAUACAAGUAUAAGGGUGUCCAUUGCAGUAUUAUUUGUGUUAAUGAAAAAUGGGACUAAGGCAAAUGUCUAUUAUAAGAGAUAGGAUAAAAAAUUUAGUGCAUAUUCAUAUAUUGAAAUAAUAUUGUCAAUUAAAAAAUAAAACUGAUCCACAUGUGUGGAAAUAAAAUUAUUUCCCAAUUUAAUUUGUUGAAAUUUUUAAAAGACUCACAAUGGUGUGCAGGUGAAUGCCCUUUUUUAAUAAGGAAAGAUGCAUAUAUGUACAUAUGUUUGUAUGUGCAGAAGUAGACUGGCUUUUUUAUAUCCUUUUGUACUCUGAAGCUUUCUGUAUGAAUUGCAUGUAUUACUUUUUCAA
rnacentral:lncRNA from 1 species